rnacentral:rRNA from 1 species
UACAGAGGGUGCAAGCGUUAUUCGGAAUUACUGGGCGUAAAGAGCGUGUAGGCGGUUUACUAAGUCUGGUGUGAAAUCCCUGGGCCCAAUCCAGGAAGUGCAUUGGAUACUGGUAGACUAGAGUGCAGGAGGGGUGAGCGGAAUUCCAGGUGUAGAGGUGAAAUUCGUAGAUAUCUGGAGGAACAACAGUGGCGAAGGCGGCUCACUGGACUGCAACUGACGCUAAGGCGCGAAAGCGUGGGGAGCAAACAGG